GAGAUCAUCUGUGCCCUUCAAUUUCAAGGUCCAGGAGCAUUUUAGAGGCAUCUAUUUCUCUGUUUUGAUUUUUGUUUUCAUUUUUGUUUUUGUUUUCAGACAGGGUCUCAUGGAGUUCAGUCUGACCUCAAAUUCACUCUCCAGCCAAGGAUGAUUUUGGAUUUGUGAUCUUCUUGCCCCUCUUCCCAAGUGCUGGGACUACAGGCAUGUGUCAUCACGCCAGUUUUAUGUCGUGUUUGGGGAUGAAACCCAGAACCUCAGGGCAGGGCUCCUCCUGACUUGAGACUGGACAAGACAUGCUUUGUGAUGGACAAGCCCGACUGUCAAUUUGUUGGAUCUGGAAUCGGCUAUCCUGUUGUUGCGGUUGCUGGUGACACCACAUCCAUCCAUCAGUACCAUCAGAACCCAAAACCUCAUAGGCCUUCACCUGGAUUGAAGACAAGACCUCCAGUGCCAGAUCGGGACUGCUGGGAUAUCCAGCCUCAUGGACCAGACAGCUUCUAGGCUCUCAUCCCUCUCCAUCAUACAGAAAGUCAUUGUUGGACUACCUGACCACUAUUGUGUCCCUGUGGCCAGUCUUCAGGUGGAAGCUGUACAUCCAGACUCGCUGGAUCCUCAGGACUUCAGACUCAAAGUAGAACUAAGCCAGCUGCUUUCCUGGGUCUCCUGCUGAAGAACUUAGUCUGUACAUUAUGAGACUUGCUGUCUCCAUGAGUGAGUGAGCCAGUUCCAUUUGCCAUAUUAAUCUUUCCCUCUCUAUAGAUUGACAG